GCAGGGAAGGCCCGAAAGCGGAAGAAGGGCAGGCAAAGCUGUGGCGGUUAGUCGAAGUAACCCGGUAGGUCUCGGUAGCCUCGGCUAUCAUCCCACCCGAGUGGCUCCCGCCUUGGAGCGCGUGACUUUCUCCUCGGCCUGACUCCGAGAGACCCAGCAGCAUCUGCACCCAGGUCUGGUUUCAACGAUCAUGAACCUCAAGUUUCAGGAUGAAGUUAUUUGCCUGAAGUCAUACCUCUGGCUAAACAGCAACCCAGGAGUAUUUACAGAGGAAAACAUUAAUCUGUGACUCCAACCCUAGAGCCACUUUCUUCUGGUGGUUACCUAGAUUACCUAUAAUGUGUUUCUGUGGCUAUUUUUUUUUUUUUAAAUGUUUAUUAGUUGUUGAUGAACCUUUAUUUUUAUGUGGUGCCAAGAAUCAAACCCAGUGCCUCACAUGCUAGGCAAGCACUUAACACUAAGCCACAACCCUAGCCUUUGUGGCUGUUUCUUGAUUGACCAUUUUGGAGCUUAUCCAUUUACUUAGUCAUCACCAGUGGACAUGCAGUUUCCAUUUUUACUUUCUCUCUUGGUUUCAUCUAACUUAAAACACUCCAUCCCUUGUAACCUUCCACCUCUCUUUCUAGUUAUCUUUAUACCUUUGUAUUAUUAAACAGAAUGUUUAAUUAUGGUCCCAGAACUGUACUUCCUGGGACCAUAAUUAAGCCCAUGGGUUGCUACUUGAAGGAGAAUGGCUGUUUAUGUUCUGCCUUGGUAAACACUACGUCUUGGAAAGGAAUGACACUGAUUACAUUGCCUAUAUUUUAAUUUUUGUGUUUUUGGCGGUACUGGGCAUUGAACCCAGGGCUGCUUUACCACUGAGCUACAUCUGCAGCCCUUUUUAUUCAAACAGGGUCUUGCUAAAUUGCUGAAGUUGGUCUAGAACUUAACCUUCUGCCUCAGCCUCCCAAGUAGCUGAGAUUACAGAAUUGUGCCACUGUGCCCAGCCAUUGCACUAAUUUUUGUUCUCUCUAAAGAUUUUUCUUGUGAUUAGCCUAUAUCAUAAAUUUGGUUUCUUUUAUAUUUCAUCAAAUCAGUCCUCUGACAACUUCAUUGUCCCAGGAUCUUUCCUGAAUUCUCUAAUCUGGCUGUAUGGCUGCUCUAGUUGUCUGGGAACCUCUCUUUUUUGACAGAACCCUGAUCCUGGCACCCACUUUACCCUUCCAACUCUACCCUCAAAAAGACAGCAGUAGUGCUCACUUCAGUAGUACAUAUACUACAAGUGAAAGAUUAGAGAAAAUUAGCAUGGCCCCUGCACAAGGAUCACACACAAAUUCCCCAAGCAUUCCAUUAAAAAAAAAAAAAAAAAAAAGACAGCAGUAGUCAUAGGAGGGUAAUUUGAUAUUCAGUACAAAUGUUUAUUUU